rnacentral:rRNA from 1 species
UUUAUUGAGAGUUUGAUCCUGGCUCAGGACGAACGCUGGCGGCGUGCUUAACACAUGCAAGUCGAACGGAGUACCUUGGAAAGAGAUUUCGGUCAAUGGAAGAGGAUACUUAGUGGCGGACGGGUGAGUAACGCGUGAGGAACCUACCUCUCAGAGGGGGACAACAGUUGGAAACG